GCUUGCGGACACGGGGGCCAUUAUGGCUGAGAGGAAGCGACCGCUUCAACCGUAUGAACGUAUACCGGAUAAUGCCGGCGCACGGACGUCUCUCUACUUCCCGU
rnacentral:ncRNA from 2 species